UUUAAAUUGAGAGUUUGAUCCUGGCUCAGGACGAACGCUGGCGGCGUGCCUAACACAUGCAAGUCGAACGGUUCGUCACUCAACACUGAGUAUUUAUAGAAGGCUUAACAGGUGAACAGCCAGCGUCAAGCGCGCUUAUGAAAUGCGCUUCACGCGUUAAAAAAGCCAACACAUAAGUAUUGAGUGUUGAGUGGCGAAUAGUGGCGGACGGGUGAGUAACGCGUGGGUAACCUGCCUUAUACAGGGGGAUAACACAGGGAAACUUGUGCUAAUACCGCAUAACUCGGGCUUUUGGCAUCAAAAGCCCGGCAAAGGAGUCAAAUCCGGUAUAAGAUGGACCCGCGUCCGAUUAGCUAGUUGGAGGUGUAACGGACCACCAAGGCGACGAUCGGUAGCCGGACUGAGAGGUCGAACGGCCACAUUGGGACUGAGACACGGCCCAGACUCCUACGGGAGGCAGCAGUG
rnacentral:rRNA from 1 species